rnacentral:rRNA from 1 species
GACGAACGCUGGCGGCGCGCCUAACACAUGCAAGUCGAACGAGAGAGAAGGAGCUUGCUUCUUCGAUCGAGUGGCGAACGGGUGGGUAACGCGUGAGUAACCUGCCCUGGAGUGGGGGACAACAGUUGGAAACGACUGCUAAUACCGCAUAAGCCCACGGCCCGGCAUCGGGCUGAGGGAAAAGGAUUUAUUCGCUUCAGGAUGGACUCGCGUCCAAUUAGCUAGUUGGUGAGGUAACGGCCCACCAAGGCGACGAUUGGUAGCCGGACUGAGAGGUUGAACGGCCACAUUGGGACUGAGACACGGCCCAGACUCCUACGGGAGGCAGCAGUGGGGGAUAUUGCACAAUGGGGGAAACCCUGAUGCAGCGACGCCGCGUGGAGGAAGAAGGUUUUCGGAUUGUAAACUCCUGUCGUUAGGGACGAUAAUGACGGU